CAUGACGGCUACCGAAGCCGUGCUUCCAGGGACCGGCAGAACACCCUCCUGACUGAGACUGAUGACACUGGUGAACAUGGCCGUUGAUGUGGAUGUUAAUUUGCGUUGCCAGGUGACCGAGAGCGGGCCUUUGACCCCACGCACUUUACAGUUUGGGCUCACUUGCUGACUGACCUGUGGCUGAGAUGCUGACCAGCUGGGACUUGGAGUCCUGGGAUGCUACCUGUGUAAAGGCACCAUCCUGCCCUCUGUCCUGAAGCCAUGCUCUACAGGUGAACUCUCCUUGGUCCUCGGUUCUGACAGGCUGCAAUAUGAGACGGUAAUCUCUGUCCCCAAUCCGUGCUGCCCGCAGCUCUCCUUCUUUAACUCGCCCACUGUACUCUGGCCCCACAGACAGAAUGCCUGUAGGGCCAAUGCGGGCCAACUCAACACUUCCCCUGAGCCAGGCUACAGAGAAGAACCUUUCCUGAAGGUUCUGGGUGUCUACGUUGCAGGACAGCGACAGCUCCUGCCCCUCGUGCAGUGUUGACGACUGUGCAGAGAUUCUCACCACCAGAGACGAUGGGUCUGGCACCACCUCUGCUCGAGGCAAAAAAGAAACACAGUGAGACAAACACAGAAACACAUCCUGUCAGAAGCCACAACGACUGCUUAGGAGGAAGAUCAAAGAUGAACAUGUCGACUCAUAUCAAGAUGUGCUAAAUAAAAUCAAUGAAAUGAUGGCUGCUUCUAACCUCUGGCUUUGACAUUCACGAUAGUUUUCUCUGCAUCCUUCUGUGCGAUGGUGUACCAGGAGCGGUCAGGAUCUUGGAUCCACUCCUGAGCCUGGCAGUAGAUCCUGCCUUGGUCUGACAGCUCCAGCUGAGCCAUGUUUAGCUUGUACAUGGCCUCUCCCAUUUUAUCUAACCUUAUGAGUCCAGCUUGGUAACGCCCUUCAAACCCCGGGCCUGGGAUCAGUGUGAAAUCUCUAUCCAGAGAAAUGAUAGGCUGAGCGUUUUCUUCACCGUCUUUAUGGAGAUACCAGGCAAGAGACAGAUGGGUGUGCUGGAUGGUGUUGCUGGAGGCUUGGCACGUUAAAGCGAGAGCAUCACCCUCAUAAUAGCUCAAUGAAGUGGAGGCAGGUAAUGAAACACUGAGGGAGUUGUCAAUCACUAUGGCACCACAACAGAAACAGAGACAAGGACAUGAAAGUCAUACAUUAUUGCCAUUUCUUUCAAUACAGCGAUGCAGUUACAUUAAAAAGUAAGUCUAAAAACUCAAAAGUAGAUCAGUGACUGAUUACCCUUCACUGUUGUCGUAGCGCUGUAGGUUCCAUCAUAAACAUGUAAGUGGUUGAUUACACUACAG